AUUGAACGCUGGCGGCAGGCCUAACACAUGCAAGUCGAAUGGUAACAGGAAAAAGCUUGCUGUUUCGCUGACGAGUGGCGGACGGGUGAGUAAUGUCUGGGAAACUGCCUGAUGGAGGGGGAUAACUACUGGAAACGGUAGCUAAUACCGCAUAACGUCGCAAGACCAAAGAGGGGGACCUUCGGGCCUCUUGCCAUCAGAUGUGCCCAGAUGGGAUUAGCUAGUAGGUGGGGUAACGGCUCACCUAGGCGACGAUCCCUAGCUGGUCUGAGAGGAUGACCAGCCACACUGGAACUGAGACACGGUCCAGACUCCUACGGGAGGCAGCAGUGGGGAAUAUUGCACAAUGGGCGCAAGCCUGAUGCAGCCAUGCCGCGUGUAUGAAGAAGGCCUUCGGGUUGUAAAGUACUUUCAGCGGGGAGGAAGGGAGUAAAGUUAAUACCUUUGCUCAUUGACGUUACCCGCAGAAGAAGCACCGGCUAACUCCGUG
rnacentral:rRNA from 1 species